CCUACGGGUGGCAGCAGUGGGGAAUAUUGCACAAUGGGGGAAACCCUGAUGCAGCGACGCCGCGUGAAGGAAGAAGUAUUUCGGUAUGUAAACUUCUAUCAGCAGGGAAGAAAAUGACGGUACCUGACUAAGAAGCCCCGGCUAACUACGUGCCAGCAGCCGCGGUAAUACGUAGGGGGCAAGCGUUAUCCGGAUUUACUGGGUGUAAAGGGAGCGUAGGCGGUUUAGCAAGUCAGAAGUGAAAGCCCGGGGCUCAACUCCGGGACUGCUUUUGAAACUGUUGAACUAGAUUGCAGGAGAGGUAAGUGGAAUUCCUAGUGUAGCGGUGAAAUGCGUAGAUAUGUGGAAGAACACCGAUGGCGAAGGCAGCCUCCUGGGAGGCAACUGACGCUCAUACACGAAAGCGUGGGGAGCAAACAGGAUUAGAUACCCUAGUAGUC
rnacentral:rRNA from 1 species